CACCGGGCGCACCGGCGACACCUGUGGCCGCAGAGGAGAACGACACCUGCUGCACGGAGAGCUGGGCUGCAGGUUGUUCUGUGUUUUUGACUUCAGGUGAAAAGUACAGAAGCUGGUUCAGAUGAAGUGUCAGAGGGUCUGCAUCCUUUGGAAGCUGUAUCUGAGGGCCAAUUUCAUCACUACACUGCAUGAAGGCUGUCCCAAUCCAAAGGCUUCUCCAAAUCCAGCCAUAAAUGCAGUCUUCUUUUCCUUCUUUUUGGAGGAUGCACCGCUACUUUCCUUUGUGGCCUCACAUAUCCCGAGAUUCUAGAUCGUCACUUUCGCGGGCCUGGGUGGCAGAAAUUGCGUAAAACAUCUGGUGACGCAGCCAGGAAAUGCUCCAAAGGCUAGACCGUCCCAUUUAACAAUGGCUGACGUGGUUAACAAGGUCUCUCUGAAGGACUCGCCUUCGAACACCGCAAAGGCCGAGUCCUUUGAAAGAUGCAGACCCUGAAUUGAGACACAGCAACUGAUUCAAACACACCACACCAGCCAUAUACAAAUGUGAGGUAAACUCUCAUAACAUCUUUAAUCCAAUUUUUGUUGUACAGAUCGAAGGAUACACAAAUAUUUAACGUUCCUCAUUCCUUCUUUUUGCAUCAUGGCGUUGUACCCGCAAGCAUCUCAUAAAGCAUUUCAAAAAACA